rnacentral:rRNA from 1 species
AUGCUGCUGCGGCUGCCGCGCCACCGCCGCCGCCACCUCGCGCCGGCCGCAUGCCAGAGCCGCGGCCGUAGCCGACCACGCGCGCGCAGGCCGCCACGCCGCCGCGCUCACCGUCUUCCGCCGCGUCCUCGCCGCCCACCCGGCCGCCGCGGUCGACGAGCUCGCCUACUCUGCCGCGACGCCCGCCUGGCCUACCAGAUACACGCGCAGGCGUGCCGCCGGGGCCUCGCCGCCUCCAACCCCGUCCUCGCCUGCUCCCUGCUCGCCUUCUACUCCGCCGCCCGCUCCGACCUACCGGCCGCCGCCAGGCUGUUCGACGAAAUGCCGCGCAGGGACGCCGUCGCCUACACCGCCAUGAUGUCGGCUUUCAUCCGCGCCGGCGACUGGGCACAGGCCCUCGCGCUCUACCCUCGCAUGCCCGAGCACACCUUGGCCAACCUGCUGGCUCUCUGCGCCUCCAGGCGCCUCUGUUGCCACGGGAGGCAGCUCCACGCGCAGCUCCUCCGCUGGGGGGCCGACCUCAACCUGGUGCUCAAGACCGCGCUCCUCCACACGUACUCCAGCUGUGGCCAUGCAUCAGUGGUGCUCCAUGGAAACACAGGAUGA